AGAGUUUGAUCCUGGCUCAGGAUGAACGCUAGCGAUAGGCUUAACACAUGCAAGUCGAGGGGCAGCGAGAUGUAGCAAUACGUCGUCGGCGACCGGCGAAUGGGUGAGUAACACGUAUGCAACUUACCUCUUAGUGGUGAAUAACUCGAUGAAAGUCGGACUAAUACACCAUGCUCUCCUUAGAUCACAUGAGAAGAGGAGGAAAGAUUAAUCGCUAAGAGAUAGGCCUGCGUUCCAUUAGCUAGUUGGUAAGGUAACGGCUUACCAAGGCAACGAUGGAUAGGGGGACUGAGAGGUUGACCCCCCACAUUGACACUGAGAUACGGGUCAAACUCCUACGGGAGGCAGCAGUGAGGAAUAUUGGUCAAUGGGCGAGAGCCUGAACCAGCCAAGUCGCGUGAAGGAAGACUGCCCGCAAGGGUUGUAAACUUCUUUUGUAUGGGAUUAAAGUCGCCUACGUGUAGGUGUUUGCAGUUACCAUACGAAUAAGCAUCGGCUAACUCCGUGCCAGCAGCCGCGGUAAUACGGAGGAUGCGAGCGUUAUCCGGAAUUAUUGGGUUUAAAGGGUGCGUAGGUUGCAAGGGAAGUCAGGGGUGAAAAGCUAUAGCUCAACUAUGGUCUUGCCUUUGAAACUCUCUAGCUAGAGUGUACUGGAGGUACGUGGAACGUGUGGUGUAGCGGUGAAAUGCAUAGAUAUCACACAGAACUCCGAUUGCGCAGGCAGCGUACUACAUUACAACUGACACUGAAGCACGAAAGCGUGGGUAUCAAACAGGAUUAGAUACCCUGGUAGUCCACGCAGUAAACGAUGAAUACUAGAUCUAUGCGAUAUACAGUAUGGGUCUAAGCGAAAGCGAUAAGUAUUCCACCUGGGGAGUACGCCGGCAACGGUGAAACUCAAAGAGAUUGGCGGGGGUCCGCACAAGCGGAGGAACAUGUGGUUUAAUUCGAUGAUACGCGAGGAACCUUA
rnacentral:rRNA from 1 species